rnacentral:tRNA from 1 species
GCAAAGUGGCCGAGAAUGAGGCAAAAGAUUGUAGCUCUUUACACGGGCCACCCCCUUUGCA